UACAUGGGGUGCAAACGUUGCUCGGAAUUAUUGGGCGUAAAGCGCGCGUAGGCGGUUAUCUAAGUCGGAUGUGAAAGCCCUCGGCUUAACUGAGGAAGUGCACCCGAAACUGGAUAGCUAGAGUACGAAAGAGGGUCGCGGAAUUCCCGGUGUAGCGGUGAAAUGCGCAGAUAUCGGGAAGAACACCCGUGGCGAAGGCGGUUCUCUGGGCCUUACCUGACGCUGAGGAGCGAAAGCGUGGGGAGCGAACAGG
rnacentral:rRNA from 1 species